CCUACGGGUGGCAGCAGUGGGGAAUAUUGCGCAAUGGGCGAAAGCCUGACGCUGCGACGCCGCGUGAGGGAUGAAGGUCUUCGGAUCGUAAACCUCUGUCAGCAGGGAAGAACGGUCACUGUGCUAAUCAGCAGUGAAUUGACGGUACCUGCAAAGGAAGCACCGGCUAACUCCGUGCCAGCAGCCGCGGUAAUACGGAGGGUGCGAGCGUUAAUCGGAAUUACUGGGCGGAAAGCGCUCGUAGGCGGUAUGUCAAGUCAAGGGUGAAAUCCCCGCGCUCAACGUGGGAACUGCCUUUGAAACUGGCAAACUGGAGUGUGGGAGAGGAUAGUGGAAUGCCAGGUGUAGGAGUGAAAUGCGUAGAUAUCUGGAGGAACAUCAGUGGCGAAGGCGACUAUCUGGCACAUAACUGACGCUGAGGAGCGAAAGCGUGGGUAGCAAACAGGAUUAGAUACCCUGGUAGUC
rnacentral:rRNA from 1 species